ensembl:lncRNA
GGGGGGGGGCGUCAGGCCGGCCCGUCAUGAAGGAACACAAGAAGAUACAGAGAGAGAGAAGAGAGAACAGGAUGGCCCUAAUGCACCACGCCCACAAGGGCUCUGGACCCACUGGGACCCACUGGCUCCUACUGGGACGCGACCCACUGGGACCCACUGGGAGGGUCCCACUGGGAGGGUCCCACUGGGAGGGUUCCAGUGGGACCCACUGGGACCCACUGGGUCCUACUGGGACGCGACCCACUGGGACCCACUGGGAGGGUCCCACUGGGAGGGUCCCACUGGGAGGGUUCCAGUGGGACCCACUGGGACCCACUGGCUCCUACUGGGACGCGACUUACUGGGACCCACUGGGAGGCGGUUGGGGGGGGCAGAAGAGCUGUAUGGGGUCAGAGGUCAACACGGUUCCAGGACGCCCCGGGUCACAGAUCAGACCUGAAGGGACUUCCUAAUCAUUUGAAAUGCGAUCUUCCUCGACCAGACCCUCUGGAGCCGGGAGGAGGCCCGGGACCGCCAUAGGACCCUCAGGGCAGGAGAGAGGGUUGGGUUAGGGUUAGGGUCGGUCCCGGGCCUCCUCCAGACCCUCUGGAGCCUGGAGGAGGCCCGGGACCGCCAGGACCCUCAGGGCAGGAGAGAGGGUUGGGUUAGGGUUAGGGUCGGUCCCGGGCCUCCUCCAGACCCUCUGGAGCCGGGAGGAGGCCCGGGACCGUCAGGACCCUCAGGGCAGGAGAGAGGGUUAGGGUUAGGGCCCGGGACCGUCAGGACCCUCAGGGCAGGAGAGAGGGUUAGGGUUAGGGUUAGGGUCGGUCCCGGGCCUCCUCCAGACCCUCUGGAGCCUGGAGGAGGCCCGGGACCGUCAGGACCCUCAGGGCAGGAGAGAGGGUUAGGGUUAGGGUUAGGGUCGGUCCCGGGCCUCCUCCAGACCCUCUGGAGCCGGGAGGAGGCCCGGGACCGCCAUAGGACCCUCAGGGCAGGAGAGAGGGUUAGGGUUAGGGUUAGGGUUAGGGUCGGUCCCGGGCCUCCUCCAGACCCUCUGGAGCCUGGAGGAGGCCCGGGACCGCCAUAGGACCCUCAGGGCAGGAGAGAGGGUUGGGUUAGGGUUAGGGUCGGUCCCGGGCCUCCUCCAGACCCUCUGGAGCCUGGAGGAGGCCCGGGACCGUCAGGACCCUCAGGGCAGGAGAGAGGGUUAGGGUUAGGGUUAGGGUCGGUCCCGGGCCUCCUCCAGACCCUCUGGAGCCGGGAUGAGGCCCGGGACCGUCAGGACCCUCAGGGCAGGAGAGAGGAGGUCAAGCGUUGGUUUCCUGGGGUCUGACUCGACAGGUUGGGCUCCUAGAGGGUCCCCAGACCACGGCCCAUCAGCUCUGGCUCUUUUUUACACAUUGGUCUGCGAUGUCUGCUCCUCCUGCUCCAGCUCCUGCUCUUCCUCCACCCUCCUACCUCUCUGCUCCACCCCCUCACGCUGGGACACGCCCACUCCACUACUAAGUAUAUGCAAACAAAAUAAGGACUGUGUGUCAUGAUAUAUAUUAUUACACUCUCACUGGCGUAGUGCUGCAUGUAUGGACCAGACCCAUGUACUAGCCCAGCUCGCCCGCACUGGGAGGAAGAAAACACUGCGUCUCUGUGCUUUGUUUACUGUUUCCAUGACAACUAGCCAUAUUAGCUCCUAGCUCAACGUGUCGCUAGUCACAUUAGCUCCUUAGCUCCUAGCUUCACAUCAUAGCAUUAAUUCUUACUGAUGAGCAGCAGAAACCAACGUGGCAGUUUGACUCGUGACUGUUGAGUCCAUCGUUCAUACUCUCCUCACUGGGAGCACUGGGAUGAGCCGAACCAGCGCAGAGACCAGCGCCCUGCGGUCGUUAGGGCAGUAUGAAGGGAGAGCUCUGCGGCAGCAGGGAGCCUGCUAGCUCCGUAACCCUAACCCUAACCUCUAGCCCAACACGCUUGAUACGCAAAGCACACUCAAAAAGUAUUCAAACAAAUAUAGAGUCACUAAUUCAAUAUCUUCUGAGCACAAAAAAGACCUGUACAGUUCAUGACGUGGACGUUCAUUCAGAGCUCCAGCCCGGUCUCCUGGUCACCUGACCGCCCGGUCUCCUGGUCACCUGACCGCCCGGUCUCCUGGUCACCUGACCGCACGUCCACAGCAGACAGCCGGGCUCAGAGAACAGGAAAGGAACUGGGAGCCCAGCCGUGGCCGUCUGGUCGUACUGCUCCUCCCAGGACCCCACAGCCACUGAACCCAUUGAGGGACGCCAGGGUCCAGGGCCCUAGGUCCAGGGCCCUGGACCUAGGGCCCUGGGCUAGGGGCGAAGAGAAGCCUGCUGUGAGCCAGUAGAGCAGGAGAGACGGGAGGGGAGGAGAUGAAGGUCAGCCUAGAGACUAGCUGCUCACUCGGGACGGUCGUUUCUCCUGGUCCGGGUAGAGAGAGGUGGGGUUGUCCCACUGAAGGUGAACCUGGUCUGGGUAGAGAGCUGGGGGGUUGUCUCUCUGAAGGUGAUGUGGUACCUGGUCCGGGUAGAGAGCUGGGGGGUUGUCUCUCUGAAGGUGAUGUGGUACCUGGUCUGGGUAGAGAGCUGGGGGGUUGUCUCUCUGAAGGUGAUGUGGUACCUGGUACACAAGUCACUGGACCUGCUCAGCUCCCAAUCUUUCCCUUUUGGACAAUCACGGUUUCAAAAGCUCUUUUGGUUUGAAAAAGACCUUCAAAAAGGCAAACACACCCUCCUACGCACAGACAUUUGUUUUUGUUUCAUGCUUCCAGAGACUGUGUUGAUAAUUACAAAGGACUUCCAUUUAAUGAUUACAAUGUCAUUUGUGUUUUUUUAAGUAGUUACUUUUUUAGGUGAAUAUGUUUUUCUAAUUCAAGCCUUUCUUUGCUGGUGAGGUACACGUUGAAGUACAUCAAAACAGUGAUCACUAGCUACAGUGAUGUACAUUCUGUCUGCUUUAGUCUUGUUUUUAUUGGGGUUGGAUUGUGUGGAAACCAUUAACUGAUUGUUGAAUCUUUUUUUACCAUAUCAGCCUCAUAGAUAACACCGCUCUGUGCCACACACGCACACACACACACACACACACACACAGACCUGCAUAUGUGUAUGUACACACACACACACACACACACGUAUCUCUAACUACAUACAUGCAGUUUGUGUGCAUGCUCAGCUGUAGAGACACAAAAGCUCCAUUCAUGAGACGCUUUGAAUAAUCCAACGCUUGAAACCACUGGCGCCGCCCACAUACACAAGACCCCAGAGGACACGCCCCUCACACACUAGUAUGACAUCACAGGACACGCCCCUCACACACUAGUAUGACAUCACAGGACACGCCCCUCACACACUAAUAUGACAUCACAGGACAUGCCCCUGAGACACUAGUAUGACAUCAAAAGACACGCCCCUCACACACUAAUAUGACAUCACAGGACACGCCCCUGAGACACUAGUAUGACAUCACAGGACACGCCCCUGACACACUAGUAUGACAUCACAGGACACGCUUCUCACACACUAGUAUGCAAGCAGGAGUACAGUACCAUGUACAGCUGGACCAUAUACAGAGUGGACCAUGUACAGAGUGGACCAUGUAGAGAGGACCAUGUACCGCGUUCCCAUGGGGGGUGCAUUCAUGUUUACGCUCUGUGUUGCUCUCAGGAGAAACGCUGCCUCCACGUGUCACAUGUCAUACUUCUGUCACAACAUAUCAUGCUACUUGCCUCUCACGUAUGCUAUGACGCCAUCCCUCUCUUAAACACUGUACCUUCUCCCCCCAUGCCAAAGCGAGUCAUUUGAAGAGAGUCUAUAGACACAUUUCGACAUGGCGAACGCACACAGCUACACAGGUGAGCAGGUGGAGGCUUCCAUUUUGCCGAUGCAAAUAUGUUGAAAGAAAGAUAAUCAACUAAAUGUGAAAAAGGCUGGAUUUACUCAGGAAACAAAAGGAAUCUCAUCUCAUUCCCCUGUGAUCCAAACUGGACCGGUUGUUGCUAUGACACAUGAAACGAGACGACACAACUUUUGGCUUUGUCUUCUUUCAUUUCAGCAUGAACGCGUUGUUCGAACCUCCCGCCAUUGAGGAGGUAGCGGCCACCAGGUGGCAGCAAAGUCUCCUCAUCAAUAAAGAAACUGCAGCAUUAAGAGAACAUUUCAGUUGUAGCAAGAAUACACUUUCUUCCUCCUUCCCCCAACUAAAUGUGUGUUAUCAAAGCAAUAUGGCCACCGAUAUAUCCCACCUCUGCACUGUUGGAGCUUAGUGCUAGGCACUUACUUUGUAUUGCGUUAAAAAGCUAAUGUCAAGAAAAGAAUCUCGCCAGUUUGUCGUAUGAGUUUUGAAUGUUUCAAGACUCCAUGUUCUGUUAUGGCUUUACAUAAUCUCUAGAGCGUUAACGAUGAUAAGCGAUAAACCUUGAUUAAAUGUAGCUUUUGUUAUAUUUCUUUUUCGAAAGGCGGCUAUAAAAUGACAAUGAACUAUAUCAAUAAAAUGUGUAAAAAUAUGAUAUCUUGAAAACAGUGUUUCCUUAUAGUCCAAAGGAUUUGUCCGUCAUUACAACGCAUCGAGAACAAAGCAAGUGUUUCAUGUCUGUCAACAUGACACCACCAACAUCACAGGAAUAUUUUUCUAUUAUGGCACAAGAUUGUGGUUCACUGUAAAAAUACGUUGUGUUCAUCAGUUCAGUUCUCCGCUGCAUUUAGAUUCUUUCAUGGGCUGACUCCCCUCGGAUCACGACUACAGCUCAGCUGUGAAGAUCUGCGCUCAGUUCGGGUUCACUGGAUGAAAGGACUCCUGGUUCUCGUGCUUGUGCUGAAGAACAAGCUAAAUGCAGCUGGAUGGCUUCAGAACCAUGAAUACAUGAAUUGUCCAAACAAUGUAGUUGCUAUGUGUAGAUGUAGAACAAUGGGCGAGGAAGGCUCCCCUGACGACCACAUGUGUUCACAACAUCCUCCAGAGACCAGGAUGGGUUAGGGUCAGGGUCAGGGCUAUGGUAAACCCUAACCCUGACCCUAACCCAUCAGGAGACCGGGAGGUUGAACUGGACCGGGUCCAUGAGGCUCACUGUGUCACCAGGGGGGUGACCCCAUGAGGCCUCUUGCUGUCACCAGGGUGGUGACUAUGAGGCUUCAUGCUUUCACCAGGGGUCAUGGCUGUAAUCCCAAUGAUGGCUGUCAGGUUGAAUGAUGAUGGCUCAGAUGAUUGUCAUGUCCAUGACAUUAGUCAAUAAAUAAAAAAUGCAUUGAUAUAGAGACUUAUUAUUUGUGUGUGUGUGUGUGUGUGUGUGUGUGUGUGUGUGUGUGUGUGUGUGUGUGUGUGUGUGUGUGUGUGUGUGUG